rnacentral:rRNA from 1 species
GGGAAAUUGGAAAUGGGCGAAGCCUGAUCCAGCCAUGCCGCGUGUGUGAAGAAGGUCUUCGGAUUGUAAAGCACUUUAAGUUGGGAGGAAGGGCAGUAAGUUAAUACCUUGCUGUUUUGACGUUACCAACAGAAUAAGCACCGGCUAACUUCGUGCCAGCAGCCGCGGUAAUACGAAGGGUGCAAGCGUUAAUCGGAAUUACUGGGCGUAAAGCGCGCGUAGGUGGUUCAGCAAGUUGGAGGUGAAAUCCCCGGGCUCAACCUGGGAACUGCCUCCNAAACUACUGAGCUAGAGUAC